UACAGAGGUCUCAAGCGUUGUUCGGAUUCAUUGGGCGUAAAGGGUGCGUAGGUGGUGAGGGAAGUCGGAUGUGAAAGCUCGGAGCUCAACUCCGAAAUGGCAUUGGAAACUACCUUGCUCGAGGGUUGGAGGGGGGACUGGAAUGCUUGGUGUAGCAGUGAAAUGCGUAGAUAUCAAGCGGAACACCAGUGGCGAAGGCGAGUCCCUGGACAACUCCUGACACUGAGGCACGAAAGCUAGGGGAGCAAACAGG
rnacentral:rRNA from 1 species